rnacentral:rRNA from 1 species
CAACGCGAAGAACCUUACCAAAUCUUGACAUCGAUCUGACCGGACUGUAAUGAGUCCUUUCCCUUCGGGGACAGAGAAGACAGGUGGUGCAUGGUUGUCGUCAGCUCGUGUCGUGAGAUGUUGGGUUAAGUCCCGCAACGAGCGCAACCCUUAUCCUCAGUAGCCAGCAAGUGAAGUUGGGCACUCUGUGGAGACUGCCAGGGAUAACCUGGAGGAAGGUGGGGAUGACGUCAAAUCAUCAUGCCCCUUAUGAUUUGGGCUACACACGUGCUACAAUGGCGUAAACAAAGGGAAGCGAUCACGCGAGUGUGAGCAAAUCUCAAAAAUAACGUCUCAGUUCGGAUUGUAGUCUGCAACUCGACUACAUGAAGCUGGAAUCGCUAGUAAUCGCAGGUCAGCAUACUGCGGUGAAUACGUUCCCGGGUCUUGUACACACCGCCCGUCACACCAUGGGAGUCAGUAACACCCGAAGCCGGUGACCUAACCGAAAGGGAGGAGCCGUCGAAGGUGGGACCGAUAA